UUACAAGGCUUUGAAACUACAAAACUUUAAACACAAAUUAAACGAUGUUCUUUUGGGGUUUUAUGAUUUAUUCAACUUGGUGUGCAAGAAAGUGAAGAGACAGUGGAAAAGGAAAGAGAGAGGAGGAUCAAGCAGAGCUUAGGGACACUUUCACUGCUGCUGAGAAGUUUAGAAGAGAAUUAGAAUUUUUACAAAAGGGUAGUGAUCCGUUAGAUUUACAAAAGGUUCCGAUGUUCAAUCCCUAACAACGGCUAGGGUAUCUCAAUAAGCGGUAUUAUUUGGGUUGGAAGCAGUUUUGGAUUUCGAUCGAUGCCAUCCGUCAUCGCCCCUGCAUCAACUGCGUCACCCUCUCUGCACACCGCAUCGUCUGUACUCAGUACAAGGUUUAUGUGUUUUCUUUCAUUUCAUCUUCUUUUCUUAUUACGAUCUUUGUCAUCUAUGUUUUCGUUGGUUUUAAAUGUUGCAUUUCAGGCCUGUUUGCUUUGUGAGAGAUUGGAUACGAAAACUGUUAAAUGACGGUUUUAACUAGAGGACGGUAUAACGAGUGUAAAAUGUUGUUUCAGCUGAACUAAAUUUAUGAAGGAUUGACGGAUUGGGUGGUGAGUUUUUGAAGUUUUAGUGUUUAGGUUUGUGGUUUUUGAUCGAUUCAUUUGGUUUUUUAAAGCGACUUUAUGAAAGCUUGAUGGAUUGAGCUUAAAUUUUUGAAGUUUCAGGAUUAAUAUUUGUGUUUCUUGAUUGGUUGGAUGAUUUUCCGGCGUUUGGUAAUUACAUAUAUAAUCUUUAAUGGUGAAAAACAUAUAGAUAGACUUCAACUAUAUGCGAAGCAAAGUUCCAUUGAGUCGCGCGGGUAUGCUUGCUAUUUUAGUUUGAGCAGACCAUUAUGACGUUCUGGAGGAAGUUAUGAUGGUGUGUAAUAUACUUCAAUGUCUUAUUGAUCAUGCGACUCAAUGGCCGAGAUGUUACUCUUACUAAAGUGUAAAGUAGCUAUACACUGGUUCUAUAAAAGUGGCUGAUAACUGAGUCUGCUUUCACUUGCCAUUUGGUGAGUGCAGCCAUGGUGCGCACGUUCUCAUAUGUUAAAUGACAAUACAAAGUGUAUUCUUUGCAAAGGCAUCAAUGAAUACAUGUUUGCCUGUGCGUUUGAGCAGCACAGAGAGAAGGGUGUUGCCACGAUGUUGCCGGUGGCUCUGGCCAUCUAUGAUGUUCCAGGAUUGCCCCCGCUAAACAUAAUUGAAGACAUGAGUUAUGAAAAGAACACGCGCAAGUCAACUAGGGCUGACAUUGAGAGACAGAUACAAGAGGAAAUCGCUAAAUCACGCGUUAGACAAGUUGAUAGUCAGGGUAGGGCUUAUGGUACUGGGAAAAAGGAAAUGUAGGAUUGCGCGUGUUUGAUUAACGAGCUGCGCUUCUUCGUCCUCUUUCGGAGACUAAAACAUUGGGUCUUCUUGAUGUUAGUUGUACUGUUAAAGGAGGUGGUAUCUCAGAUCAAAUUGGUGCAAUUCGGCUUGGUAUGCGUAGGGCCUUGCAAAACUUGGCACCAGAUCAGUUCUGUCCUCCGUUGAAAGAAGGUGAAUGAUAUGUGGUCAUGCUUAGUUUCUUGCAGAAGUGUCUCUGCUGAAGGAAGCGGUGUUACUGUAGAAGGAUCUGCUACAUUCCCGGAAGAGGCUAUUGCAACUCCUCAUGUUGCCGAGACCAAGGCUGCAGCUGAUGAGGGUGAUGAUAGUGAUGUGGAUCUUUUUGGUGAAGAGACCGAAGAGGAAAAGAAGGCUGCUGAAGAUCGUGCAGCUGCUGAAGAUCGUGCAGCUGCAGUGAAAGCAUCUGGAAAAAAGAAAGAAUCUGGUAAGCCUUGGGAUGAUGAGAUCGAUAUGCAAAAGCUUGAGGAGGCUGUUUGAAUUCAAUUGGUAUAUUUGGUUUUAGAUGUAUUUUUUUCUAAUUUUAGCUCUUAGUCUCUGAACUAUGUAUAUGUGAUGAAUCUUUGUUAAAAGUUCUUUUUAUCUAGAAACAAAUUUAAGAAAAAUCUUAUGACUCAAAUUUAGUGGAAGGUGAUGGUGAUACUAAUGGUUUAAAUGUAGUUUCUCUUAAAAGCAGGUUGAAGAAACGGGACUCGACUGUCACUGUCUCAGUUGCAGAAAAUAACCGCUAUAUGGUUGAACCCGAGCCCAUAUAACAAAGUGCUAGAAUGAGCGUGCAUUGGUAACAAACUUAUUCUUUUGUGGACUUUUUUUGCGGGUACUACUUAUCGUUCAACAUUUUUUGCCAAAGAAUAUAUACGAGUCGAAAAGAGAUAUAUAUUACAUGCAUCCUUGGGUGUUCUUAAUGUUUUCCACAUUAGCUAAAAGGUGUUGUUUCUAAGAUGUCUAGGUUAAAUCUCAAGUGAUAAAAACAAAGUUUAUUGAUUUAGGUAAAAUCCGAGAUGGUUAUUUUUUUAGUUUUUAAGUAUAUACUCCUUUUUUUCCGGCGAAUCGACGAGUGACUAAGCUUGGUUGGAUUUUUACCUCACAAAGAUCGUUCAGAAAUAAAACAAGUCCGAGUAAUU